rnacentral:rRNA from 1 species
UACGUAGGGUGCGAGCGUUGUCCGGAAUUAUUGGGCGUAAAGAGCUUGUAGGCGGUCUGUCGCGUCUGCUGUGAAAAUCCGGGGCUCAACCCCGGACUUGCAGUUGAUACGGGCAGGCUAGAGUUCGGUAGGGGAGACUGGAAUUCCUGGUGUAGCGGUGAAAUGCGCAGAUAUCAGGAGGAACACCGGUGGCGAAGGCGGGUCUCUGGGCCGAUACUGACGCUGAGGAGCGAAAGCGUGGGGAGCGAACAGG